GACGAACCGUGCGAACGUUGUUCGGAUUCACUGGGCUUAAAGGGCGCGUAGGCGGGCGGUCAAGUCGGGGGUGAAAUCUUUCAGCUUAACUGGAAAAGUGCCUCCGAUACUGAUCGUCUUGAGGGAGGUAGGGGCAUGUGGAACUUCCGGUGGAGCGGUGAAAUGCGUAGAGAUCCGGAGGAACACCGACGGCGUAGGCAGCGCCCUAGACGAGACCUGACGCUCAGGCACGAAAGCGCGGGGAGCGAACAGG
rnacentral:rRNA from 1 species